rnacentral:ncRNA from 1 species
GACCCUUUUAAUCGUAUGUCAUCUACUAAAUUCAAUCUAAUAAAUGAUAAUGCAUGUGUCCUCAGAUAAGCUCAACGAGAAUAGAAAACUCGUGUGGAACAAAAGGGUAAAAGCUUGUUUGAUUAUAAUUUCCACUACGAAUACGAACCGUGAAAGCAUGGCCUAUCGAUCCUUUAGACCUUCGGAGUUAGAAGCUACAGGUGUCCGAAAAGUUACCACAAGGAAAACUGGCUUGUGGCAGCCAAGCAUUCAAAGCGACAUUGCUUUUUUAUCCUUCGAUGUUGGCUCUUCCUAUCAUUGUGAAGCAGAAUUCACCAAGUGUUGGAUUGUUCACCCACUAAUAGGGAACGUGAGCUAGGUUAAGACCGUCGUGAGACAUUUUAGUU